GAUGAACGCUGGCGGCGUGCUUAACACAUGCAAGUCGAGCGAGAAGUUUUGAAAAGAUUCUUCGGAUGAAAUUUAAAAUGGAAAGCGGCGGACGGGUGAGUAACGCGUAGGCAACCUGCCCCAUACAAAGGGAUAGCAUUUGGAAACGAAUAUUAAUACCUUAUGAAACUUAACUAGUGCAUGCUAGGUAGGUCAAAGAGUUAUAGGUAUGGGAUGGGCCUGCGUCUGAUUAGCUAGUUGGUGAGGUAACGGCUCACCAAGGCGACGAUCAGUAGCCGACCUGAGAGGGUGAACGGCCACCUUGGAACUGAGACACGGUCCAAACUCCUACGGGAGGCAGCAGUGGGGAAUAUUGCACAAUGGGGGAAAGCCUGAUGCAGCAACGCCGCGUGAAAGAUGAAGGCCUUUGGGUCGUAAAGUUCUGUUCUAGGUGAUGAAAACUGACAGUAACCUAGGAGAAAGCCCCGGCUAACUCCGUG
rnacentral:rRNA from 1 species